rnacentral:rRNA from 1 species
UACGUAGGGUGCGAGCGUUAAUCGGAAUUACUGGGCGUAAAGUGUGCGCAGGCGGCCGAGCAUGUCGAGUGUGAAAGCCCCCGGCUCAACUGGGGAGGGUCAUUCGAUACUGUUCGACUCGAAGGCAGGAGAGGGAAGCGGAAUUCCCGGUGUAGUGGUGAAAUGCGUAGAUAUCGGGAGGAACACCAGUGGCGAAGGCGGCUUUCUGGCCUGUUCUUGACGCUGAGGCGCGAAAGCUAGGGGAGCGAACGGG